rnacentral:rRNA from 1 species
CCAGACUCCUACGGGAGGCAGCAGUGGGGGAUAUUGCACAAUGGGGGGAACCCUGAUGCAGCGACGCCGCGUGGGUGAAGGAGCGUUUCGGCGCGUAGCCCUAUCGGCAGGGAAGAAGGAGGACGGUACCUGACUAAGAAGCCCCGGCUAACUACGUGCCAGCAGCCGCGGUAAUACGGAGGAUGCGAGCGUUAUCCGGAUUUAUUGGGUUUAAAGGGUGCGCAGGCGGCGAGUUAAGUCAGCGGUAAAAUUGCGGGGCUCACCCCCGACAAGCCGUUGAAACUGGCUUGCUAGAGUGGGCGAGAAGUAUGCGGAAUGCGUGGUGUAGCGGUGAAAUGCAUAGAUAUCACGCAGAACUCCGAUUGCGAAGGCAGCAUACCGGCGCCCAACUGACGCUCAGGCACGAAAGCGUGGGUAUCGAACAGGAUUAGAUACCCCAGUA